AAUUACGAUGCAACGCGAAGAACCUUACCUGGUCUUGACAUCCGGAGACCCUUAGGAAACUAGGGGGUGCUCCAUCUGGAAGAAUCUGGAGACAGGUGCUGCAUGGCUGUCGUCAGCUCGUGUCGUGAGAUGUUGGGUUAAGUCCCGCAACGAGCGCAACCCUUGCCUUUAGUUGCCAGCAGUUCGGCUGGGCACUCUAAAGGGACUGCCGGUGUUAAACCGGAGGAAGGUGGGGAGUGACGUCAAGUCCUCAUGGCCUUUAUGACCAGGGCUACACACGUACUACAAUGGCCGAUACAAAGGGCAGCGACACUGCGAGGUGAAGCCAAUCCCGUAAAAUCGGUCUCAGUCCGGAUUGGAGUCUGCAACUCGACUCCGUGAAGUUGGAAUCGCUAGUAAUCGUGGAUCAGCAUGCCACGGUGAAUACGUUCCCGGGCCUU
rnacentral:rRNA from 1 species